rnacentral:hammerhead_ribozyme from 1 species
AUCCAGAUGACGAGUCUCGUAUAGGACGAAACGAUCGUCCUGGAU